CCCCAAAUGUUGUUAAUUCUUUGGAAAAUAAACACCUCAUAGUUUCCAUAAUCAUGAAGCUGGUAAAGUAAUUUCAGCCUAAUAAGUAGAAACACAUAGAAAUUCUGGGAUUUGUUUUUUAAAACUCUAAAUUCUAUGGUGAAAUUCUCUGUAGAGAGCUUCUCUAUAGUCUCUGUAGGGAUAAAUUGAAACAAAAAAGCCACUGAGCUUAAUUGUCAGGAAGAGCUGAAUUGCAGGAGACUUUGAAUUUGCUAUUCACCUUAUAAGGCUUACCUGCCAGUUGGCUUUAUGAGAAUAUGCCAUUUGCAGCUAUGUCUUUUGGCUUCUGAAAAACUUGCGCACCAAAUAGUUUUUGAACAGUUGACGGUGAACUUCUUGUUUGUACAAGUGACUAAUUGCCUCCAUUUUCCAAUCUCUGAAAUGGGGAUAAUGAUGAAACCACACUUGUAAAAUCCUUUUGAUUUCUGUAGAUGAAAGGACCUAUGUAAGUAUAAAGUAUUGUUAUUAAAAUAAUAGAAUCUCUAAUUAAAAGGAAUAGGCUAUUUAGAGUUCCUUGUAAAUUCACUAAUCGGUGGUCUUUAAGCUUAUUUAGUCUAAUGGCUUUCUGAGGUUGAGCUGAUGCAGUUCAUGUAGGAAUGUGUGGUGUUUAGAUGAUCUCACUCUUUUUUCCAUUUUUAUCAUAGUCCUUUGUAAACAUGAGACUUUGACUCUUUAAAUUUAAUUUUCACUGAAGGACAUACUCAAUGGUCGAUAGAUUGAUAUUAUCUAGGAAUCAUUUUUUUUCCUCUCUCCAUUUCCCAGUAAGAUAACACGGUUCUUUCUAAAACACUUCUCUUCUUAUAUUUUUUGCAUUGGUAGAUUAAGAAGAAAAAACUAAAUCAUGUUAAAUUGAUGGAAGAUGCUAUUAGGAAAACUAAAUUAAAGAAAUAAACAUUUUGUCUGCUAGGCUUUCAUGUUGUUACACUUUUCAGUCAUCUCCAGCAUUUCAACAAAUUCUUCAGGUCAGGUCUAUAAACUUAGAAAUGAAAGGGACCUGACUGCAGAGCUUUGGAAUAAUUUCUCUGAGACAUCUUGGUGGUUGUUGCAGGGAGCUGAGAUCACGUCACUGCACUCCAGCCUGGGUGACAGAGUGAGACUGUCUUGACAAAAAAAAAAAAAAAAAAAAAAAAAAAAAAUAUAUAUAUAUAUAUAUAUAUAUAUAUAUAUAUAUAUAUAUAUAUAUGUAUGUAUGUAUAUAUUUAACUCACUGUAUACCAGAUGUAGUUCUAUGUGCUCCACAUUAAUGUGCUUGUUUUUUAUAACAUAAAAGCUAUGGUAGCAUAAAGGAAGAUGUGUUGAUUGUUGUAUUUUUUAAUAGACUUUAGAGCAGUUUUAGGUUCACAGCAAAACUGAGUCAAAAGUACAGAGAGUUGCCAACCCCCUGCCCUCACACACUCACAUCUCCCUCACUGUCAGUGCAUGUUUAGUGUUGGCUACCUUUUAGAUAGUAGCUGUUCAAUAAAUUGUUUGUUAAAUAAAUACAUGAGAGAGCCAAUUAUUUUGUUUCUGCCAACUACAAAGAAUCAUGGCAAAGAAAAUAAGAGUAGUCUUCAAAUUCAUGGCAUAAGUUAUGAAUGACUCAGUUUCAACAGUCAGGCCCCCAAUUCAAAAACAAGUGUUAUGCCUUUAAAUGUAAAAAGGUAUUAAAUUAUUAUUAUAAAUUUUAGGUGUGUUAUUUAUUAAUAUUUUUAAAUAUUGAGACUUUAUUAUUUUAGAUCAGUUUUGGAUUCACAUUGAAAUUGGGGAGAAAGUACAAAAAAUUCCCAUCUACCUUCUCCCCCACACUCUGCAAUCUUCCACUAGCAACAUCCGCAAACCAGGGUUACAAUCAAUGAACCUCUACCGACAUUAUUAUCAUCCAAAUUUCUCAGCAUUAUGAAGCAAGGAAUUACUCUUCUACUGCAGAGAAGUGACUAGACAUUUACCUCCAAUCAGCUAUAGAUAGGCAGCUGGAAAUUUGACUGAAUUUUAAUCUGGGUAGCUACUCUUCUUUAGACACAGCAUUUUGUUCACUCAGUUCUCAAAACAGUGUUCCAUUCCUGUACUGUCAUAGUAGGUGAUAUGUUUUAAUCAAAUCUGUUUUUAAUACAUACAGUUUUAGUAAGGUUGCCCCAGGGAAAAUAGACUUCAAGGUCCAUAAAACGAAGCAUCUUGCAUAGCAUCUGAUGAGAUAGUAGCCGCUUCAUAAAUAUUUGUUAAAUAAAUAGUUUGUAUUUAAUUAUCUCCAGGAAUCAAUGUACAUUUUAAUGUUUAACUUAAACUAUUCAAAAACAUUGUUAGUCUUGGGAAGAGUAGAAUUUUUCCUUUUUUCAAUAUUUUAACUUAUGUUCUCAUAGAGUGCUGUAAAAGAAAAAUACAGAUAAUUGAGCUACGUAAAAGGUGGGAUAUAUGAUAUAUUAUAAAAAACAAAAAAACUCAACCGAUUACAAUUAGAAAAAAUUCUCCCUACUUACAUUUUAAGGAAAUUUUCUUUAACUAUCAGAAAAUCCACUGUAGAAAAGGAAGCCUGUGCAUUUUCUUUACAGAAUGCUGUUAAUCAUUUUGUUUUCAUGCUGUUGGAAAAUUUUCCUUUCCUUGAGAGAUCCAAAUAACUCCCCCUCCCCUAUGGUCAUAGUACUUUUUACUUACCUCUAUUUUGCUACUUGUAGUUUACCAAAAUUAUUUAUAGGGGCUGCUUUUUCUGCAAACCCACAGAACAGGGAGAGAAAAUGUAUGUGGCAUCAUCUGCUACAUGCUCGAUACUUCUGUUAUUCACUCAACACACAUUUGUUUUGAACAAGGCUAAGCACAGGCCUAGGCAGUGAGUUCACAGCCUUACAGCUGCCUGGAGCUGAAACAAGUGUAGUAAUGUUUACAAUCAGUG
rnacentral:lncRNA from 10 species